UACAGAGGGUGCGAGCGUUGUCCGGAAUCACUGGGCGUAAAGGGCGCGUAGGUGGUGACCUAAGCGUGCGGUGAAAGCUCGGGGCUCAACUCCGAGUCGGCCGUGCGAACUGGGCUCACUGGAGCAUAGUAGAGGCAGGUGGAAUUCCGGGUGUAGCGGUGGAAUGCGUAGAGAUCCGGAAGAACACCGGUGGCGAAGGCGGGUCUCUGGGCCGAUACUGACGCUGAGGAGCGAAAGCGUGGGGAGCGAACAGG
rnacentral:rRNA from 1 species